rfam:Fukomys damarensis contig109063, whole genome shotgun sequence.
AGCUUUGCGCAGUGGAGGUAUUGUAGCCAAUGAGGUUUAUCUGAGGCACGAUUAUUGCUACUUGAAAACUUUUCCCAUUAUGAGCUGCACAGUAUAUAUACUUGUACAGCAUUUAGGAUGGUGCCUUACAUAGUAU